GCCUGGGUGGCUCAGUUGGUUGAGUGUCUGACUUCAGCUCAGGUCAUAAUCUCACCAUUCGUGGGUUCGAGCCCCGCAUCGGGCU
rfam:Felis catus isolate Cinnamon breed Abyssinian chromosome B4, whole genome shotgun sequence.